UACAGAGGAGCCAAGCGUUGUCCGGAUUGACUGGGCGUAAAGCGCACGCAGGCGGCACCGCGCGUGGGGUGUGAAAUCUGGCCGCUUAACGGCCAGGCGCCAUCCCAUACGGCGCGUCUGGAGUGAUGCAGAGGUCGAUGGAAUUGCCGGUGUAGUGGUGAAAUGCGUAGAGAUCGGCAGGAAGACCAAGGGGGAAGCCAGUCACCUGGACCCGCGCUGACACUCAUGGACGACCGCGUGGGGAGCGAACCGG
rnacentral:rRNA from 1 species